AACGAACGCUGGCGGCAUGCCUAACACAUGCAAGUCGAACGAGACCUUCGGGUCUAGUGGCGCACGGGUGCGUAACGCGUGGGAACCUGCCCUUAGGUUCGGAAUAACUCCCCGAAAGGGGUGCUAAUACCGGAUAAUGUCUUCGGACCAAAGAUUUAUCGCCUUUGGAUGGGCCCGCGUUGGAUUAGCUAGUUGGUAGGGUAAAAGCCUACCAAGGCGACGAUCCAUAGCUGGUCUGAGAGGAAGAUCAGCCACACUGGGACAGAGACACGGUCCAGAAUCUGAGGGGAGGCAGCAGCGGGGAAUAUUGGACGAUGGGCGAAAGCUGGAUGUAGCAAUACCGCGUGGGGGAAGAAGGACCUCGGGUGGUAAAGAAAUUUUGGUGGGAAAGAAAAGCAGCAUGUUAAUACCCCGUUGUUCAGACGGUACCGAAAGAAUAAGCACCGGCUAACUUCGUG
rnacentral:rRNA from 1 species